rnacentral:rRNA from 1 species
GUGGAUUAGAUACCCUGGUAGUCCACGCUGUAAACGAUGGGUACUAGGUGUUGCGGGUAUUGACCCCUGCAGUGCCGACGCUAACGCAUUAAGUACCCCGCCUGGGAAGUACGGCCGCAAGGUUAAAACUCAAAGGAAUUGACGGGGGCCCGCACAAGCGGUGGAGCAUGUGGUUCAAUUCGACGCAACGCGAAGAACCUUACCCAGACUUGACAUCGAUGGAAUCCUGUAGAAAUACGGGAGUGCCCUUCGGGGCCCAGAAGACAGGUGCUGCAUGGCUGUCGCCAACU